UACGGAGGGUGCAAGCGUUAUCCGGAUUCACUGGGUUUAAAGGGUGUGUAGGCGGGUACUUAAGUCAGUGGUGAAAUCUCCAGGCUCAACCUGGAAACUGCCAUUGAUACUAUUUAUCUUGAAUAUCGUUGAGGUAGGCGGAAUAUGUCAUGUAGCGGUGAAAUGCUUAGAGAUGACAUAGAACACCAAUUGCGAAGGCAGCUUACUAAACGAAGAUUGACGCUGAGGCACGAAAGCGUGGGGAUCAAACAGG
rnacentral:rRNA from 1 species